rnacentral:rRNA from 1 species
UACGUAGGGUGCAAGCGUUGUCCGGAAUUAUUGGGCGUAAAGAGCUCGUAGGCGGUCUGCCGCGUCGGCUGUGAAAUCCCGAGGCUCAACCUCGGGUCUGCAGUCGAUACGGGCAAACUUGAGUGUUGCAGGGGAGACUGGAAUUCCUGGUGUAGCGGUGAAAUGCGCAGAUAUCAGGAGGAACACCGGUGGCGAAGGCGGAUCUCUGGGCCAUUACUGACGCUGAGGAGCGAAAGCGUGGGGAGCGAACAGG